rnacentral:misc_RNA from 1 species
UGGCAGGCGGCCGCCCAGUUCCAGCCGCCACUCAACUCCAUUAAAUUCAAUUGACAAAAGGAAAUGAACAUGAACAUGCAAAAAAAAAAAAGAGAAUAAAUGUAUUAUACAGCCACACACACAAACACACACAACGUACAAAAACGAAACGGAACACACGAAAAACAGAUUAAUGGAGAACAGAGCAGGCAACGCGCUCGUGAGGGGCGCAUAAAAAUGGGAAAAUUCAAGGUACCCGCCCGAAUGGAGAGGGGGGCCAGGGCAAAGCAGAUCGCCGGCGGGAGCCAACGCAGCACAUCUGCUCUUCUGGGCUGUGCAUACGUACACAUGUAUGUAUGUAUGUAUGUACAUGCAUAUAGGCUGUAUAGGUUCUAUAGAAAUUGUGGCCAUGUUGCCAGCAGCGCGCUGGCUUUGCAUUUCCAAUUUACAUUUGUAUGCAUGUGCAGCAGCAGCGGCGGCAAGCAGAGCGAAAAAGCAAACUGAAACCAAACCGCAAACAAGGCGACGGCGAAUUCGUUUCGAUCAGGAAUGAUCGACCAAGCAGGUACCCCACACUGAACAAGGAAUACCCAUUACACACUUUAUCAUUGGUCUGAUACACCCAGAGAUUUUCACUUCGUGCUGGGUAUUUCGAGACGACUUCAAGGUUAGCCAUGCCCCCCGAGAGCGAGUAGAGUUGGCGUCCGUCCCACGCACUCUGCUGACGUCGCAGUCGCAGUAGGCGUCACUCUGGAACUUUGGCUGCUUCCUUUUUGAUUUUCUUUGCCAGCUUCUCCUUCUUCCACCUCAUUG